rnacentral:rRNA from 1 species
CAGCCGCCACGGUAAUACGGAGGGAGCUAGCGUUGUUCGGAAUUACUGGGCGUAAAGCGCGCGUAGGCGGUUACUCAAGUCAGAGGUGAAAGCCCGGGGCUCAACCCCGGAACUGCCUUUGAAACUAGGUGACUAGAAUCUUGGAGAGGUCAGUGGAAUUCCGAGUGUAGAGGUGAAAUUCGUAGAUAUUCGGAAGAACACCAGUGACGAAGGCGACUGACUGGACAAGUAUUGACGCUGAGGUGCGAAAGCGUGGGGAGCAAACAGGAUUAGAUACCCCAGUAGUCCCUGUCUCUUAUAC